rnacentral:rRNA from 1 species
CUUGCUGGGUGGAUUAGUGGCGAACGGGUGAGUAACACGUGAGUAACCUGCCCUUGACUCUGGGAUAAGCCUGGGAAACUGGGUCUAAUACCGGAUAGGAACGUCCACCGCAUGGUGGGUGUUGGAAAGAUUUAUCGGUCAUGGAUGGACUCGCGGCCUAUCAGCUUGUUGGUGAGGUAAUGGCUCACCAAGGCGACGACGGGUAGCCGGCCUGAGAGGGUGACCGGCCACACUGGGACUGAGACACGGCCCAGACUCCUACGGGAGGCAGCAGUGGGGAAUAUUGCACAAUGGGCGAAAGCCUGAUGCAGCGACGCCGCGUGAGGGAUGACGGCCUUCGGGUUGUAAACCUCUUUCAGUAGGGAAGAAGCGAAAGUGACGGUACCUGCAGAAGAAGCACCGGCUAACUACGUGCCAGCAGCCGCGGUAAUACGUAGGGUGCGAGCGUUAUCCGGAAUUAUUGGGCGUAAAGAGCUCGUAGGCGGUUUGUCGCGUCUGUCGUGAAAGUCCGGGGCUUAACCCCGGAUCUGCGGUGGGUACGGGCAGACUAGAGUGCAGUAGGGGAGACUGGAAUUCCUGGUGUAGCGGUGGAAUGCGCAGAUAUCAGGAGGAACACCGAUGGCGAAGGCAGGUCUCUGGGCUGUAACUGACGCUGAGGAGCGAAAGCAUGGGGAGCGAACAGGAUUAGAUACCCUGGUAGUCCAUGCCGUAAAC